rnacentral:ncRNA from 1 species
AUCUUAUCAAGAGCAGGUGGAGGGACUAGCCCGAUGAAACCCGGCAACCGGCGUGUAAACGCACGGUGCUAAUUCUUGCGGAAACUUGUGUGGCGCAUGCGUCAGGCAGGUUAUUCUGGCAGAUGAGAG